UACGUAGGAGGCAAACGUUAUUCGGAUUUACUGGGCGUAAAGGGAGCGUAGGCGGUUCCUUAAGUCGGAUGUGAAAUCUUCUGGCUCAACCAGAAGGCGCCAUUUGAUACUGAGGGACUUGAGAGCAGCAGAGGGAAAUGGAAUCUCCAGUGUAGCGGUGAAAUGCGUAGAUAUUGGAGAGAACACCAGUGGCAAAGGCGGUUUCCCAGGCUGCUUCUGACGCUGAGGCUCGAAAGCGUGGGGAGCGAAGCGGAUUAGAUACCCGCGUAGUCCACGCCCUAAACGGUGGACACUAGAUAUAGGAGGUAUCGACCCUUUCUGUGUCGAAGCUAACGCUUUAAGUGUCCCGCCUGGGGAGUACGGCCGCAAGGCUGAAACUCAAAGGAAUUGACGGGGGUCCGCACAAGCAGCGGAGCGUGUGGUUUAAUUCGAUGCUACACGAAGAACCUUACCAGGACUUGACAUGACAGAAGUAGGAAGCCGAAAGGCGGACGACCUGUAUCCAGUCAGGAGCUGCCACAGGUGCUGCAUGGCUGUCGUCAGCUCGUGCCGUGAGGUGUUGGGUUAAGUCCCGCAACGAGCGCAACCCUUGUCCCAUGUUAAAUUCUCAUGGGAGACUGCCUUGUACAGCAAGGAGGAAGGAAAGGAUGACGUCAAGUCAGCACGGCCUUUAUGUCCUGGGCUACACACACGCUACAAUGGACGAUACAGAGGGUUGCCAAGGAGCGAUCCGGAGCUAAUCCUGUAAAAUCGUCCUCAGUUCGGAUUGCAGGCUGUAAUCGCCUGCAUGAAGUCGGAGUUGCUAGUAACCGCAGGUCAGCUAUACUGCGGAGAAUACGUUCUCGGACCU
rnacentral:rRNA from 1 species